CUGGAGGUAUCAGAAGUGCGAAUGCUGACAUAAGUAACGAUAAAGCGGGUGAAAAGCCCGCUCGCCGGAAGACCAAGGGUUCCUGUCCAACGUUAAUCGGGGCAGGGUGAGUCGACCCCUAAGGCGAGGCCGAAAGGCGUAGUCGAUGGGAAACGGGUUAAUAUUCCCGUACUUGGUGUUACUGCGAAGGGGGGACGGAGAAGGCUAUGUUGGCCGGGCGACGGUUGUCCCGGUUUAAGCGUGUAGGUGUGUGUUCCAGGUAAAUCCGGUUCACUUUAACACUGAGGCGUGAUGACGAGGCACUAC
rnacentral:rRNA from 1 species